rnacentral:tRNA from 1 species
UUAGGGUUGGCUCAGUGGUUAGAGCUUAGGUCCGGUAAUCGAAAGGUCGCGGGAUCUAAUCCCACUAAA